GGCCAAGUUUUUAAGGGCGCACGGUGGAUGCCUUGGCACCAGGAACCGAUGAAGGACGUGGGAGGCCGCGAUAGGCCCCGGGGAGCUGUCAACCGAGCUGUGAUCCGGGGGUGUCCGAAUGGGGAAACCCGGCAGUCGUCAUGGGCUGUCACCCGCUGCUGAACACAUAGGCAGUGUGGAGGGAACGCGGGGAAGUGAAACAUCUCAGUACCCGCAGGAAGAGAAAACAACCGUGAUUCCGGGAGUAGUGGCGAGCGAAACUGGAUGAGGCCAAACCGUAUGCGUGUGAUACCCGGCAGGGGUUGCGUAUGCGGGGUUGUGGGAUCUCUCUUCUGUCGUCUGCCGGCGGCAGGACGAGUCAGAAACCGUUGAUGUAGGCGAAGGACAUGCGAAAGGUCCGGCGUAGAGGGUAAGACCCCCGUAGUCGAAACGUCAGCGGCUCGUUUGAGAGACACCCAAGUAGCACGGGGCCCGAGAAAUCCCGUGUGAAUCUGGCGGGACCACCCGUUAAGCCUAAAUAUUCCCUGGUGACCGAUAGCGGAUAGUACCGUGAGGGAAUGGUGAAAAGUACCGCGGGAGCGGAGUGAAAUAGUACCUGAAACCGUGUGCCUACAAGCCGUGGGAGCGUCGCAUCGAGUGCUUGCACUCGGUGUCGUGACUGCGUGCCUUUUGAAGAAUGAGCCUGCGAGUUUGCGGUGUGUUGCGAGGUUAACCCGUGUGGGGAAGCCGUAGCGAAAGCGAGUCCGAAGAGGGCGACCUAGUAGCGCGCCCAAGACCCGAAGCGGGGUGAUCUAGCCAUGGGCAGGUUGAAGCGGAGGUAAGACUUCGUGGAGGACCGAACCCACCAGGGUUGAAAACCUGGGGAUGACCUGUGGUUAGGGGUGAAAGGCCAAUCAAACUCCGUGAUAGCUG
rnacentral:ncRNA from 1 species